GUCUAUGGCCAUGCAAUCUUGAACAAGCCAGAUCCCAUCUGAUCUCGGAAGCUAAGCAGGAUCGAGCCUGGUUAGUACUUGGAUGGGAGACCACCUAGGAAGACCAGGUGCUACAGGCA
rnacentral:rRNA from 1 species